UACAGAGGUCUCGAGCGUUGUUCGGAUUCAUUGGGCGUAAAGAGCGUGUAGGCGGCCAUACAGGUCCGUUGUGAAAACUCGAGGCUCAACCUCGAGACGUCGAUGGAAACCGUAUGGCUAGAGUCCGGAAGAGGAGAGUGGAAUUCCUGGUGUAGCGGUGAAAUGCGCAGAUAUCAGGAAGAACACCCGUGGCGAAGGCGGCUCUCUGGGACGGUACUGACGCUGAGACGCGAAAGCGUGGGGAGCGAACAGG
rnacentral:rRNA from 1 species